rnacentral:rRNA from 1 species
AUUGAACGCUGGCGGCAUGCCUUACACAUGCAAGUCGAACGGCAGCACGGGUGCUUGCACCUGGUGGCGAGUGGCGAACGGGUGAGUAAUACAUCGGAACAUGUCCUGUAGUGGGGGAUAGCCCGGCGAAAGCCGGAUUAAUACCGCAUACGAUCCACGGAUGAAAGCGGGGGCCCUUCGGGCCUCGCGCUAUCGGGUUGGCCGAUGGCUGAUUAGCUAGUUGGUGGGGUAAAGGCCUACCAAGGCGACGAUCAGUAGCUGGUCUGAGAGGACGACCAGCCACACUGGGACUGAGACACGGCCCAGACUCCUACGGGAGGCAGCAGUGGGGAAUUUUGGACAAUGGGCGAAAGCCUGAUCCAGCAAUGCCGCGUGUGUGAAGAAGGCCUUCGGGUUGUAAAGCACUUUUGUCCGGAAAGAAAUCCUUGACUCUAAUACAGUCGGGGGAUGACGGUACCGGAAGAAUAAGCACCGGCUAACUACGUG